UGGGGAAUUUUGGACAAUGGGCGAAAGCCUGAUCCAGCAAUGCCGCGUGUGUGAAGAAGGCCUUCGGGUUGUAAAGCACUUUUGUCCGGAAAGAAAUCCUUGGCUCUAAUACAGUCGGGGGAUGACGGUACCGGAAGAAUAAGCACCGGCUAACUACGUGCCAGCAGCCGCGGUAAUACGUAGGGUGCAAGCGUUAAUCGGAAUUACUGGGCGUAAAGCGUGCGCAGGCGGUUUGCUAAGACCGAUGUGAAAUCCCCGGGCUCAACCUGGGAACUGCAUUGGUGACUGGCAGGCUAGAGUAUGGCAGAGGGGGGUAGAAUUCCACGUNUAGCAGUGAAAUGCGUAGAGAUGUGGAGGAAUACCGAUGGCGAAGGCAGCCCCCUGGGCAAUACUGACGCUCAUGCACGAAAGCGUGGGGAGCAAACAGGAUUNGAUACCCUGGUAGUCCACGCCCUAAAACGAUGUCAACUAGUUGUUGGGGAUUCAUUUCCUUAGUAACGUAGCUAACGCGUGAAGUUGACCGCCUGGGGAGUACGUCGCAAGAUU
rnacentral:rRNA from 1 species